AAAUGUAUAACUUUCUCCGACUUUCUAGGACGUGUUUAACUGUUAUGCCACUUCUUUUUCCGUCUCAUUUUGUCCACCAGACUUUUAACGUUGUGCAUGGAUGCACAAAGGACAUCUGGAAUCUGUCCAUAGGGGGGGGGAUACUGUUACGGCUCAGACCCCUGACAUCUGCGCGUACCUUGGGACACGCCCACGGCCGCGCAAAUCCAGGGACGCGCCGUGCACGUCUCCGCCCUGCAGCAGCCGCCAGCUGCAAACACUCACCGGCUAUCGGCACACCUGAGACUGAUGAGGGCGUGCCGGAUAAAGGCAGGGUGGACCCAAGGAUCGGCGCGGGAACUUAGUUUUCUCAUGGUGUACCUACCCUCCGUCGCCUGGACUGUGAGCGUCUCACUAUUCCCUGGAUCUUCCCCUGUGUUUUGGACUGGCUUCCUCGUUUCCCGACUUCUCGCUCGCCCCCCCGGACUCUGACGUCUCUCUCUCUGCCCCACGGACCCCUCGCGCAUCUUGGACCCCUUCUGCCUUGCCCAAUUUGGACUUGUCUACUUCCUCAUCCAACAUCACGGUAAUACACAACAGCU